rnacentral:rRNA from 1 species
AGUGAACGCUGGCGGUAGGCCUAACACAUGCAAGUCGAACGGCAGCACAGUAAGAGCUUGCUCUUACGGGUGGCGAGUGGCGGACGGGUGAGGAAUACAUCGGAAUCUACUUUUUCGUGGGGGAUAACGUAGGGAAACUUACGCUAAUACCGCAUACGACCUACGGGUGAAAGCAGGGGAUCUUCGGACCUUGCGCGAUUGAAUGAGCCGAUGUCGGAUUAGCUAGUUGGCGGGGUAAAGGCCCACCAAGGCGACGAUCCGUAGCUGGUCUGAGAGGAUGAUCAGCCACCCUGGAAGUGGGACACGCUCCAGACGCCUGCGGGAGGGAGCAGUGGGGAAUAUUGGACAAUGGGCGGAAGCCUGAUCCAGCCAUACCGCGUGGGUGAAGAAGGCCUUCGGGUUGUAAAGCCCUUUUGUUGGGAAAGAAAAGCAGCAGGUUAAUACCCCGCUGUUCUGACGGUACCCAAAGAAUAAGCACCGGCUAACUUCGUG